CCUACGGGGCGCAGCAGUGGGGAAUAUUGCACAAUGGGGGAAACCCUGAUGCAGCGACGCCGCGUGAGUGAAGAAGUAAUUCGUUACGUAAAGCUCUAUCAGCAGGGAAGAAACAGACGGUACCUGAGUAAGAAGCCCCGGCUAACUACGUGCCAGCAGCCGCGGUAAUACGUAGGGGGCAAGCGUUGUUCGGAAUGACUGGGCGUAAAGGGUGUGUAGGCGGUGUAGCAAGUUAGAAGUGAAAUACCUAGAGCUUAACUCAGGUGCUGCUUCUAAAACUGCUAUACUUGAGGGCAGUAGAGGAA
rnacentral:rRNA from 1 species